rnacentral:rRNA from 1 species
AUGCCCUGCUUCCAGGAAAAGCCUCUAAGCAUCAGGUAACAUCAAAUCGUACCCCAAACCGACACAGGUGGUCAGGUAGAGAAUACCAAGGCGCUUGAGAGAACUCGGGUGAAGGAACUAGGCAAAAUGGUGCCGUAACUUCGGGAGAAGGCACGCUGAUAUGUAGGUGAAGUCCCUCGCGGAUGGAGCUGAAAUCAGUCGAAGAUACCAGCUGGCUGCAACUGUUUAUUAAAAACACAGCACUGUGCAAACACGAAAGUGGACGUAUACGGUGUGACGCCUGCCCGGUGC